GACGAACGCUGGCGGCGUGCUUAACACAUGCAAGUCGAACGGAAAGGCCCUGCGUUUGUGGGGUGCUCGAGUGGCGAACGGGUGAGUAACACGUGAGUAACAUGCCCUUGACUUUGGGAUAACUUCAGGAAAAUGGGGCUAAUACCGGAUAGGAGAUCCUGCUGCACGGUGGGGGUUGGAAAGUUUCGGCGGUUGGGGAUUGACUCGCGGCUUAUCAGCUUGAUGGCGGGGUAGUGGCUUACCAAGGCUUUGACGGGUAGCCGGCCUGAGAGGGUGACCGGCCACAUUGGGCCUGCGAUACGGCCCAGACUCCUACGGGAGGCAGCAGUGGGGAAUAUUGCACAAUGGGCGGAAGCCUGAUGCAGCAACGCCGCGUGCGGGAUGACGGCCUUCGGGUUGUAAACCGCUUUCGCCUGUGACGAGGCGUGAGUGACGGUAAUGGGUAAAGAAGCACCGGCUAACUACGUG
rnacentral:rRNA from 1 species